ACCUACGACAACGUUUAAUAUUUUUUUCGUAAAAACUAGCAAACAUUACGAAUAUAUUAUAUCUAUUAUUAUAUCACGUAUUAUAUAUUAUAUACAAAUAUUUGUCAAAGAUAAUAAAUACAUAUGCAAGUGAUCGUGUUGUUGAUAGUAAUCAAAUGUAACUCGUGACGCUAUUAGUAUUUUAAUCUUGCUGAAAAAUGUCGAAAGGUGGAUUCGAUACGAGAGAAGAAUAGCAGAAAAAGAAAAAAGAAAAAAGAAUCGCAAGUGUCGUAUAGUAAUACGUCGCUAUGGUAUUAUCGUAGGUCUGUAACGUUAAAUUAAGAUUCUUAAGAGACGAAAAAGGUUUAAUAGCCGAUUACACAGAUAUUUUGGAUACACGGUAAAUGCGAUGUUUGUCAAUAAUUCGUGAAGAUUGUUUAUUUGGAAAUUUGUUUCCAAGGGAUCGUUCGCGGUUGUCCGAUUUAACGAAAUGGAACUCGUCGCAUUUUAUCGACCUAAAACGUCAUGCGCAGAUAUUUUGACCUAUAUAAUUUAGAUACUAUACUGUACAGAUAAGUAGAAAAUAAAGCAAUUGACACUGGCAUAUGCGUAUCUCAGAUAGUUACUAUUUUAUCGAAAUGAUUCAAUUUAAUGGAAAUCGCUUACCAUACCGUCUCGUUUUUCCGCGUAUAAAAUCAUUCGUACGAUCACUAGAAUCAUGUUGGACUCGAGCGAUGGGUCCAUGUAAAUUGCACUCACCUAGGAUUAAAAUACGUACGAAAAUGUAACAGGCGUUAAAACAGUAUUUGCACUCUUACGAAUAAAUUAUUAUUCAAAACUCUCGUAAAUACGACGCAUCUUAUAUAAUUUUC